rnacentral:rRNA from 1 species
UACGGAGGGUGCAAGCGUUAAUCGGAAUUACUGGGCGUAAAGCGCACGCCGGCGGUCAAUUAAGUCAGAUGUUCAAGCCCCGAGCUUAACUUGGGAAUAGCAUCUGAAACUGGUUGGCUAGAGUCUUGUAGAGGGAGGUGGAAUUCCAUGUGUAGCGGUGAAAUGCGUAGAGAUGAGGAGGAAUACCGAUGGCGAAGAGGGCCCCCUGGACAAAGACGGACGCUCAGGU